GCCGAGGUAGCUCAGCCUGGUAGAGCACUGCACUGAAAAUGCAGGUGUCGGCAGUUCGAGUCUGCCCCUCGGCACCA
rnacentral:tRNA from 1 species